UCUGCCAACUAAUGGCAAUAAAUUAUGCUGAACCCAAACUGCAUAAGUGGCAGAGUGCUUUAAGAAGCAUUGGUGUCGUACAAUGCGUCGAAAGACUGCAAAGUGCAUACGGUAUAAAAAUUGGGGUAAAUGACUGUUAGUGACGGCACACUAACAGUCUUUU
ncrna:unclassified sequences FuFi-1 RNA